UACGUAGGGGCCGAGCGUUGUCCGGAGUUACUGGGCGUAAAGCGCGCGCAGGCGGCUCGUCAAGCCUGACGUGAAAGCCCCCGGCUCAACCGGGGAGGGUCGUCGGGGACUGGCGGGCUUGAGGUCGGCAGGGGUUGGUGGAAUUCCCGGUGUAGUGGUGAAAUGCGUAGAUAUCGGAAGGAACAUCAGUGGCGAAAGCGACUUCCUGGACCAAUACUGACGCUCAUGUGCGAAAGCGUGGGGAGCAAACAGG
rnacentral:rRNA from 1 species